GUGCUUGUUCGGCAGCACAUAUACUAAAAUUGGAACGAUACAGAGAAGUUCAGCAGGGAUGACACGCAAUGUGUGCAUUAGCUUGUUUAG
rnacentral:snRNA from 1 species